GUGGCUGUAGUAUAGUGGUCAGUAUACCUCAUUGUAAGUAACUGAGGAGACGCCUGUUCGAUUCUGGCCAGCCACA